UACGAAGGGGGCUAGCGUUGUUCGGAAUUACUGGGCGUAAAGCGCGCGCAGGUGGUCUUUCAAGUCAGUGGUGAAAGCCCGGAGCUCAACUCCGGAAAUGCCAUUGAAACUGUGAGACUUGAGGACGAGAGAGGUGAGUGGAAUUCCGAGUGUAGAGGUGAAAUUCGUAGAUAUUCGGAAGAACACCAGUGGCGAAGGCGGCUCACUGGACGAUUGUUGACGCUGAGGUGCGAAAGCGUGGGGAGCAAACAGG
rnacentral:rRNA from 1 species